UGCGUAGCUCAGUUGGUUAGAGCGUGGGACUCAUAAGCCCGAGGUCGCUGGUUCAAUUCCAGCCGC
rnacentral:tRNA from 1 species